AUACGGGGGGUGCAAGCGUUAAUCGGAAUUACUGGGCGUAAAGCGCGCGUAGGCGGUUUGCUCAGUCGGAUGUGAAAGCCCAGGGCUCAACCUUGGAACUGCACACGAUACUGGCAAACUAGAGUGUGAGAGAGGAUAGUGGAAUUUCCGGUGUAGUGGUGAAAUGCGUAGAUAUCGGAAGGAACAUCAGUGGCGAAGGCGACUGUCUGGCUCAACACUGACGCUGAGGUGCGAAAGCGUGGGUAGCAAACAGGAUUAGAAACCCUAGUAGUCC
rnacentral:rRNA from 1 species